rnacentral:rRNA from 1 species
AGUGAACGCUGGCGGUAGGCCUAACACAUGCAAGUCGAACGGCAGCACAGUAAGAUCUUGCUCUUACGGGUGGCGAGUGGCGGACGGGUGAGGAAUACAUCGGAAUCUACUUUUUCGUGGGUGAUAACGUAGGGAAACGUACGCUAAUACCGCAUACGACCUACGGGUGAAAGCAGGGGAUCUUCGGACCUUGCGCGAUUGAAUGAGCCGAUGUCGGAUUAGCUAGUUGGCGGGGUAAAGGCCCACCAAGGCGACGAUCCGUAGCUGGUCUGAGAGGAUGAUAGGCCACACUGGAACUGAGACACGGUCCAGACUCCUACGGGAGGCAGCAGUGGGGAAUAUUGGACAAUGGGCGCAAGCCUGAUCCAGCAAUACCGCGUGGGUGAAGAAGGCCUUCGGGUUGUAAAGCCCUUUUGUUGGGAAAGAAAAGCAGCAGGUUAAUACCCCGCUGUUCUGACGGUACCCAAAGAAUAAGCACCGGCUAACUUCGUG